rnacentral:sRNA from 1 species
ACCUUCUAUGAAUUCAUGGUUUUCCUCUCUUUCUCCUCUGGAGCCACUUCCAUCAAUCAUCUCCAUUUUUGCGCGUUCUCUGUGGGGUGUCGUGCUGACAAUGCAAGUAUGAGUGCCCAACCUCCACUCCAGCGAGAGAGAAAAGAAAGCAGCGAAUCAUGGCUGCAAGAAAGCCCGGAACGGUCAUGGAGGCCAUCGACAGCGAGCAAUGGGCUAAUCUCCAUCCCAACCCCCGCCAUCUGGUGCCGCGUUUUUGCUGCACGUCGGCCUUGCUGGAAAGCACGUUUAAAUCCCCGUUAUUUGACCUUCUCCUGCAAAUACCCACAAUAUACCUCACUACCCC